UUCCCCCAUUGUAACUGUUAGCCUUGGCACCCCCGGAGCCCUCAGCGAGGUAGAAAAACAGAUGGCCUGUAGGAGCAGGCAGUCAGGAGAAGACAGCACAGAACUAGAUGAAAUGGCCAAGCUGGGACUCUCGGGGAUACAUUGUGGAGACAGUGUCCAAUCAGUUUCUGAAGAGAGGCUAUGCCUGCAGCCCAUGACUGGACUGGUCAGCUCACUGCUGACCAGAAACAAGUCUGGGAACAUCCCCUCUCCCUGGGCACCAGCAAACUCAUGAGGCAGGGGUCAUAGGACACGGUAGCAAGAAGUGUGUCUCAGCUGACCUGUGAAUGAGCAAACACCAGACGUCCACCCAUGUCUGAUCUUCUGUGCUGACCUUGGUGACUGGAAAUGACACAACCCAAUUUUUCUGGCGACUCCACUGAACCCCUGAUCUUUUCCUUCAUGUGACAAAUCACACAGCAGAUAUUUUUUCUGAGUACAGAUAGCUGCUCUGAUUGAGAACAAGCAUGAGUUUGGUUAUCUGCCUUCUCCUGUACAUAAGGCCAUUUAUAGGUUCCUCAUCUCCCUUCCAAGGUCCAAAUAAACCUUCGAGUAAUUGUAGCCUCA